CAGACCGGUCUGUCUGUUUUUGAACUUCUUGACCGGUCAGACCGGUCCUCUAUACCGGUCAGACCGGUCUGUGCCUGAGCAGAUUCGAUUUGAGAAGUUCUCUCAUUUUUACUUCCGCUUUGCGACUCAGGUCUUUUGCUUCGAGAUAGCUUGUUCAUAGCUAUUCUCGCUGACCAAGGUUUGAGGGUUUGCGGUGGUUUUGGGAUAUAGGCCGACGGUUUGAAUUUCGGAAGAAAUUUUGAUCGGCUCUCAUUCACCCUCUCUCUGGUCGCCGGCUUCGGUCUCACAGUGUUGUCUCUCUACAUAGGCGCCCACAAGGAACCUGCAAACCGUAGCUUUGACUUCGAGCAGGAAGUAGCACGGCGGCUUCCGAACUUCUGCGCCUUGGACCCGCACCUCCGUACAGAGGUGGCAUGUCUUUGGAGCACUUGUGCUGCAGCUUCUCCGAUUUCGAACCACCAUACAAAGGCUCAAAAUAGUGGCGGUGGAGAGCAGGGUAACCAUAUGUCCACCUAGCUAGCUAGCUAGCUAGCUUGCUCAUUUGGAGUCAUGCUCAUCAGAGAACUGUGACUGCGAUCUAGCCAGCAGCUGGAGAAAUGGGCAGAUCGCCUCGCCAUAUCUUGAAGACUUGGAAUUUGAAGACUUCCAUGGGGCUGAUCAUGAAGUCGAUAUUCUGAAGCUUAUAUCCAGAUCGGCGCUAGUGCUAAAGAGAAUGACCAUUAAACAGUCUGAUGAGGUGCCACCAAGUGACAGAGGAUGCCAGGAGCUCCGCAGCAUCCUUGAGGCAAAUGCUUCCGUGGAAUGCAAUUGGGAGUAACGAAGUGUCAUCUUAGGCUCUUAGCCUGAUCAAAAGCUCCAGUGAUGCUUUGUCGUUAUUAAUCUUUCUCUUAUGUUAUGCUUAACAAUAUAACAGUUCACAUGAUGGGACAUGGCAAUAUUGUCUACCUUGCUCGGAAUCGAUUUCAUUUAAUUAUUUGUUCAUCUAUAUAUACUGCAUCUACCGAAAUUCGAGUA